AUUGAACGCUGGCGGCAGGCUUAACACAUGCAAGUUGAGCGGGGGAAGGUAGCUUGCUACCGGACCUAGCGGCGGACGGGUGAGUAAUGCUUAGGAAUCUGCCUAUUAGUGGGGGACAACAUCUCGAAAGGGAUGCUAAUACCGCAUACGUCCUUCGGGAGAAAGCAGGGGAUCUUCGGAGCUUGCGCUAAUAGAUGAGCCUAAGUCGGUUUAGCUAGUUGGUGGGGUAAAGGCCUACCAAGGCGACGAUCUGUAGCGGGUCUGAGAGGAUGAUCCGCCACACUGGGACUGGGACACGGCCCAGACUCCUACGGGAGGCAGCAGUGGGGAAUGUUGGACAAUGGGGGGAACACUGAUCCAGCCAUGCCGCGUGUGUGAAGAAGGCCUUAUGGUUGUAAAGCACUUUAAGCGAGGAGGAGGCUACUCUAGUUAAUACCUAGGGAUAGUGGACGUUACUCGCAGAAUAAGCACCGGCUAACUCUGUGCCAGCCGCCGCGGUAA
rnacentral:rRNA from 1 species